rnacentral:rRNA from 11 species
CAGACCUCUAAUCGGAAAAGACUACCC